AGCAGCCGCGGUAAUUCCAGCUCCAAUAGCGUAUAUUAAAGUUGUUGCAGUUAAAAAGCUCGUAGUUGAAUUUCGGGAUCAAUAUAUUGGUCAUGCUUAGGUAUGUACUGGUAUUAUUGAUUUCUCCCUUCUGAAGAACCAUAAUGUCAUUAAUUUGAUGUCAUGGGGAAUCAGGACUGUUACUUUGAAAAAUUAGAGUGUUUAAAGCAGGCUUUCGCUUGAAUACAUUAGCAUGGAAUAAUGAAAUAGGACGUUUGAUUCUAUUUUGUUGGUUUCUAGGAUCGACGUAAUGAUUAAUAGGGAUAGUUGGGGGCAUUAGUAUUCAAUUGUCAGAGGUGAAAUUCUUGGAUUUAUUGAAGACUAACUACUGCGAAAGCAUUUGCCAAGGAUGUUUUCAUUAAUCAAGAACGAAAGUUAGGGGAUCGAAGACGAUCAGAUACCGUCGUAGUC
rnacentral:rRNA from 2 species